rnacentral:rRNA from 1 species
AGGGUUCGAUCCUGGCUCAGAAUGAACGCUGGCGGCACGCUUAACACAUGCAAGUCGAACGAGAUCUUCGGAUCUAGUGGCAGACGGGUGAGUAACGCGUGGGAACCUGCCCAGUAGUAGAGAAUAACUUGGGGAAACUUAAGCUAAUACUUUAUACGUCCUUCGGGAGAAAGCUUUAUGCGCUAUUGGAUGGGCCCGCGUUAGAUUAGUUUGUUGGUGAGGUAACGGCUCACCAAGGCGACGAUCUAUAGCUGGUCUGAGAGGAUGAUCAGCCACACUGGGACUGAGACACGGCCCAGACUCCUACGGGAGGCAGCAGUGGGGAAUAUUGGACAAUGGGGGCAACCCUGAUCCAGCGAUGCCGCGUGAGUGAUGAAGGCCCUAGGGUUGUAAAACUCUUUCGUCGGGGAAGAUAAUGACGGUACCUGAAGAAGAAGAUCCGGCUAACUCCGUGCCAGCAGCCGCGGUAAUAC